AGCUGCAACUUUGUCCAUCCAGGUCCAAGGAAGCUUGAUAAAUUUUUGAUAUCCGCUCUCCAGAGCGUGCAUGUCAUGUGCCAACUGAAAAGAAAGAACAAGUCAGAUAAAAAAAAAGAAGUGUCAUCAACUUACUCCAAGGAUCGUCGGGUAGAAAGAAGAAAACAUCUUAGACACAGUCCGAUUUUUCCUAUUCUCUCUGUCAGGCAGG
rnacentral:lncRNA from 1 species